GGGGUUGUGGUUCAGUGAUAGAACGCUUGCCUAGCACACAAGAGGCGCUGGGUUUGAUCCCCAGCACCACA
rnacentral:tRNA from 1 species